UACACCAGCGAACUCACAGGUGACUGGCCAUACAGUUGCACCGUCUGCUCCAAGUCCUUUACGCAGUCUAAUCAGUUGAGCAGACAUAAGAGAGCACAGCACCAUGAUACUGAAGGGUAGAUCAACAACCAUGUUGAACUAGAGUCUGAAUUAGAAAUCUACAGACGUGUAGCAUGUUGCAUAGUGUUCUACUGCUACAGAUAGCACAAGUAUCUCCAUGUGCUCUUAAAGAGGCCCUGAAACACUUUUUUCGGGUCACCAUAUUUGCUUUAGAUCUUUUCUCGGCAUGUUAUUGAACAUAGUGCAAAAUACAUUAUGAAAACUGACCCACACAAAGCUGUUAUAGUUCAGGAAAAAAUUCUAUGUACAGUUUAAGCUCAAUAUAGUGCAGCUGGUAAAAUCAGCAAUUUCCGUUGUUAUAUUGUGACUUUUCAUUAUUUGAGCCGUACUGAAUAUUUAUUUCGAUCUGAAAAAUUAUGGCUUGCACACCCCUACAUAAUGAGUAUGCUCACUGUAAUGCUUUGUACACUACAGAUGUCUGAAAAAUGUGCUUCUUUAGCUUUAGUACCGUAUUUACUGGUCUAUAACUCGCACCUUUGUAUAAGUUGCACCCCCUCUCAAAAUGGCAGUUUUUUUCAGAAAAAUUUAUGUAAGUUGCACCAUUGUUUAAGACGCACCUGUUCAUUCAGUAAUUGGUUUGAAACAAAUACAGUGUUGAUUCACUUCGUGAAGGCAGGUCAUGUACAAGCGUAUGGGUGCCAUUCCUAUAUUAUUGCAAUAGAAAUGGUAUGGACACUCAUGGCGCAUUUCUGCCGUCGGGUUUGCCGUUAUGUUCCGUAUAAAGUCGAAGAGCGAUAAAAUCGUCCCUGCGCGCCAGAUGCUGUAUGUGCGAGUGAAAGCGUGCGAGCAUGAGCCGAAUCGCACACGAGGGAGGAAAGCGGGAAGGCAGUGCGAGGGAGGGGGGGCUGGGUUGUACUCUGGUAGCAACUGCGCAGUUUCCGAAAAAGAAAGAGUAUAUAAGUUGCACCGUUCUAUAACACGCACCAACGAAAAAUUCAGAAACAAACAGCCACUUACUUAUACGCCGGAAAAUAUGAUAUUGCCUUUUGGUACAUAUUGCUAUGUUGAUGAUGACCCUUGGAUUUAAGGGGACACACCCAUAAGUGGCCACUGCUGAUCUGAUGACGACAUGCCUUCCUCCCACACCUAUCAGAUUGGCCUAAUAGUGUCUUUGUACCAUGAGUACUGAGAGACAAGGAUGUGUGAAGAGCCACGCCAAGGGCUUUGUGUGUUCCAUUGUGGGGGUUAUCUACGAGCUAACUCUGGCAAGUCCUAUGUGGGUCAGAUGGACUGGGUCAGAUGGACUAGUGUUUAAAUGACCAUAUUAUGGAGCACUCCUAACAAUUCAAAUACAUUUGAUGGUGCGUAUCUUAGCACACUUUGCAAGGCCUACUCAUGUGAACCGUGUGUUAUGAUUUUGGGCAGUGCAUGAGGCAUAUUUUAUCAGAGAGAUCCUGCACUUGUUUGAGGCCAACUUGCAGCAUUAUUAAAUAAACGAGCAUUGUGACAACCUCCGUGUCUUGCGUGUUGCAUGUGUUGCACAUAUCUUGCGUGUUGGGAUGCAUUUGCAUCCUAUGUUUCAUCCUUUGAAUCAAUAAAUCAGUUCAUAGU